CGUUAAUCGGAAUUACUGGGCGUAAAGCGCGCGUAGGCGGUUUGCUAAGUCAGAUGUGAAAUCCCCGGGCUUAACCUGGGAACUGCAUUUGAGACUGGCAGGCUAGAAUGUGGUAGAGGUGAGUGGAAUUCCAGGUGUAGCGGUGAAAUGCGUAGAGAUCUGGAGGAACAUCAGUGGCGAAGGCGACUCACUGGGCCAUUAUUGACGCUGAGGUGCGAAAGCGUGGGUAGCAAACAGGAUUAGAUACCCUGGUAGUCCACGCCCUAAACGAUGUCAACUAGGUGUAUGGGAAAUUUAUUUCUUGUGUAUCGAAGCUAACGCGAUAAGUUGACCGCCUGGGGAGUACGGUCGCAAGACUAAAACUCAAAUGAAUUGACGGGGGCCCGCACAAGCGGUGGAGCAUGUAGUUUAAUUCGAUGCAACGCGAAGAACCUUACCUGGCCUUGACAUGCACGGAACUUUCCAGAGAUGGAUUGGUGCCUUCGGGAACCGUGACACAGGUGCUGCAUGGCUGUCGUCAGCUCGUGUCGUGGGAUGUUGGGUUAAGUCCCGCAACGAGCGCAACCCCUGUCCUUAGUUGCCAUCAUUAAGUUGGGCACUCUAAGGAGACUGCCGGUGACAAACCGGAGGAAGGUGGGGAUGACGUCAAGUCAUCAUGGCCCUUAUGGCCAGGGCUACACACGUGCUACAAUGGGCAGUACAAAGGGUUGCUAACUCGCGAGAGUAUGCUAAUCCCAUAAAGCUGUUCGUAGUCCGGAUCGCAGUCUGCAACUCGACUGCGUGAAGUCGGAAUCGCUAGUAAUCGCGGAUCAGAAUGCCGCGGUGAAUACGUUCCCGGGCCUUGUACACACCGCCCGUCACACCAUGGGAGUUGGCUGCAAAAGAAG
rnacentral:rRNA from 1 species